UACGGAGGGUGCGAGCGUUGUUCGGAAUCACUGGGCGUAAAGGGCGUGUAGGCGGUCCGCUAAGUCUGAUGUGAAAGCCCGGGGCUCGCCCCCGGAAGGGCAUUGGAAACUGACGGACUCGAGUCCCGAAGAGGAGGGUGGAAUUCCUGGUGUAGCGGUGAAAUGCGUAGAUAUCAGGAGGAACACCGAUGGCGAAGGCAGCCCCCUGGGCUAACACUGACGCUCAUGCACGAAAGCGUGGGGAGCAAACAGG
rnacentral:rRNA from 1 species